UACGUAGGUGACCAGCGUUGUCCGGAUUUACUGGGCGUAAAGAGCGCGCAGGCGGUCGUUCAAGUCGAGUGUGAAAGCCCCCGGCUCAACUGGGGAGGGUCAUUCGAUACUGAUCGACUUGAAGGCAGGAGAGGGAAGCGGAAUUCCCGGUGUAGUGGUGAAAUGCGUAGAUAUCGGGAGGAACACCAGUGGCGAAGGCGGCUUUCUGGGCCUUACCUGACGCUGAGACGCGAAAGCGUGGGGAGCGAACCGG
rnacentral:rRNA from 1 species